GACGAACGCUGGCGGCGUGCUUAACACAUGCAAGUCGAACGGAGAGGCCCUGCUUUUGUGGGGUGCUCGAGUGGCGAACGGGUGAGUAACACGUGAGUAACCUGCCCUUGACUUUGGGAUAACUUCAGGAAACUGGGGCUAAUACCGGAUAGGAGCUCCUGCUGCAUGGUGGGGGUUGGAAAGUUUCGGCGGUUGGGGAUGGACUCGCGGCUUAUCAGCUUGUUGGUGGGGUAGUGGCUUACCAAGGCUUUGACGGGUAGCCGGCCUGAGAGGGUGACCGGCCACAUUGGGACUGAGAUACGGCCCAGACUCCUACGGGAGGCAGCAGUGGGGAAUAUUGCACAAUGGGCGGAAGCCUGAUGCAGCAACGCCGCGUGCGGGAUGACGGCCUUCGGGUUGUAAACCGCUUUCGCCUGUGACGAAGCGUGGGUGACGGUAAUGGGUAAAGAAGCACCGGCUAACUACGU
rnacentral:rRNA from 1 species